CUCCUUUAGAGAGAAGACCUUAUCAGAGUAGAGGAGAAUUACCCCCCUAUCAACAGCAGUCUACUUCAUUAUUUUUAGCUCACCAAGAAGACCAACAAAGCUACCAAAAUAUCAGCCAUUGUAAGUUUUUAUUUAUUUAUUUGAUUAUCAUUCACAGCAUUCAGCCU